CAUCAAGCCAAUUCUGAUGCAUAUAUCACAUCAGGAAUCAGAAUUUUUUUUUAAUUCUAAUGGCCAGGUGUUUGAACAUAUUGGCCUUUUUGAAUGGAUACAAAUCAGUGAAUGUUUUCGGUGGUUAUGUCUAUGCAAGGAGUUGGCCAACCCUGGAAGAGUGGGAGAUGACCAUAAGCUGCCGAGAAAUAGUCAGUUUUGAACCAGCAGUCAAGAGGAUAAGUUCCGUCGAUUACAGGUGCACUCAAGGAUAUUUAUUCUUUAUGUUUUUUUAGUUUUGUAAUUGUAAUUAAAGUUCUGUUUUAUAAUUUAUUAGUGCAUCUUUAUUUACAGACUAUUUUACACUCGCAAUGUGAUUUU
rnacentral:lncRNA from 1 species